UACGUAGGGGGCGAGCGUUGUCCGGAUUCAUUGGGCGUAAAGAGCUCGUAGGCGGCUUGGCAAGCCGGGUGUGAAACCUCCAGGCUCAACCUGGAGACGCCACCCGGGACUGCUAUGGCUAGAGUCCGGUAGGGGAUCACGGAAUUCCUGGUGUAGCGGUGAAAUGCGCAGAUAUCAGGAAGAACACCCGUGGCGAAAGCGGCUCUCUGGAACGGUACUGACGCUGAGACGCGAAAGCGUGGGGAGCGAACAGG
rnacentral:rRNA from 1 species